CUCUUGGCACUCACUUCAAAACACCUCUACACACAGACUCCCUCUGUUUAUCACACAUUACCUCUCUGUUACACACAGGAACCUGGGGGCCACACAUUACCUCUGCUUCACAACAGACAGACACACGACACACAAACACACUACACACAAUACAUUUUACACAAAAAGGGCUACACAAUUGGGUUUAACAUAACACAUAAGCUGAAUUUCGGGCACUGACAAACCAUCAGGAUAGCCUUCCUUAUUUCUUUCAUGCACAUCUCUCCUUACACACAGACAGAGACACACACACACACACAGAGUACGAGCUGGUAUUAGGUAUAAUUAGACUGGUUCUAAUUGUUAGAUGAUGCUGUCUUUUAGCUUAGCAGUGUACCCAAACCUUUAUUCCUCUUAAGAAUAAAAACGACACAAUGCAUUGACAAAAACAUCCAGUCCUGUCCCAUGCAAACACAGACACACGCCUGAUACUUAGUUUCACACACACCUUUUUUAAUGCAUUCAGACACAUUUUAACUGUUACCUGUCAGUUCACUAGCAAAGCCUCUCCACAGCUUUCUUCUACUCCCCAUUACUGAAAAGCAGAAAACUACCCCCACCUCGCACAUAGUCAGAGACACAGGGCCUA